AUGUGGUUUGCAGGUGGUGCUUUUGCAGGAGGUGAGAAACCUGGCACUGCGCAGAGGCUUGCGCGCAGCCUGCCUCCUCUUGCGUUGGCCGCAGAUGCCAGCAGCGAUGAGUCGGGCUGGAGAGAGCGGGACAACACACUGGGGCUGAGCAUGGCUUUUGUCCUGUCCUGCGCUGUGCUUGUGCUCCUGCUGCCGCUGGCUUUUCCCCAAGAGGCUCUCAGAUGUCGUGAGAGCAAAGUAAUUCUUGUAACCAAGGGGGAGCCCAUCUCGAUCGUGUGUCCUUUCCAUGAACGCUGCAGCACUGACAAUACCUUCUAUGAGAUCAUCUGGAGCUAUGAGAAAGACUUGAGAAGGAUCCUGCAGUUUAGGACGACACCUCCUAAUAAAACCUCUGUUAUGUUACGCAAGGAAGGUCACUUUGGAGGUCAGCAACUCAGCUCAGCUUCCGAGGGCCUCCACUGCUCUGCACCUCCAGGCAGCGAAGUCACCUUGGAGUGCGAUUUCUCCGCCAAUGUGACUGGCAACUUCACAGAGCUCUUCUGGCUGCAUGAGCGAGAGGAGAGCCCACCCCGACUCAUCGCGUGGCACCACAAAUCCAGUUGCCCGGACAGGAACAGCACUGAGAGUCGCUUUCGGAGCUCGUUAGAUCUGGAAAAUCACCAGAGCCGUCUCACCAUUUCCAGGCUGCAUACGAGUGACAGCAGCUGGUACCAGUGUGAGAGCCUGGGGGAGUUUUCUGGCAAGCAGAGAGGGAGGGGAACCAACCUCACUGUCAAGGGCUCCCUGACGUGCUGCUCGUGGCUUUGGGGAGUGCUGGGUUUGCUCUGGCUGCCUCCUGCCUGUACUUUCUGUGCAUUGCACUUGUGUGAGGAGCCCAUACACCUCGCUGGAAAGACCUGGUCCCCUCGCUGGGCCUGCUGAGGAGGGUGCGAGGGAGCCUGUGGACAGGGAAGCCACCUACGCUAGCCUUAGCAGCGAGUACAGUGUAAGUGUGGGUCCCGUGCUGCGGCCAGAGCCGAGGAGCAGGUGAAGCAGGGCUGGGCUGUUGCUUGCCCCCUCCCUGCACGUGAAUGAGCGGAGAUGGGCUAACACGUCCCGGCCGUGGCUGGUCUCUGCGCCU
rnacentral:lncRNA from 1 species